rnacentral:rRNA from 1 species
GCAUGUGCUGUGAGCUCGAUGAGUAGGGCGGGACACGUGGUAUCCUGUCUGAAUAUGGGGGGACCAUCCUCCAAGGCUAAAUACUCCUGACUGACCGAUAGUGAACCAGUACCGUGAGGGAAAGGCGAAAAGAACCCCGGCGAGGGGAGUGAAAAAGAACCUGAAACCGUGUACGUACAAGCAGUGGGAGCACAGGUUUACCUGUGUGACUGCGUACCUUUUGUAUAAUGGGUCAGCGACUUAUAUUCUGUAGCAAGGUUAACCGUAUAGGGGAGCCGUAGGGAAACCGAGUCUUAACCGGGCGUUAAGUUGCAGGGUAUAGACCCGAAACCCGGUGAUCUAGCCAUGGGCAGGUUGAAGGUUGGGUAACACUAACUGGAGGACCGAACCGACUAAUGUUGAAAAAUUAGCGGAUGACCUGUGGCUGGGGGUGAAAGGCCAAUCAAACCGGGAGAUAGCUGGUUCUCCCCGAAAGCUAUUUAGGUAGCGCCUCGUGAAUUCAUCUCCGGGGGUAGAGCACUGUUUCGGCUAGGGGGCCAUCCCGGCUUACCAACCCGAUGCAAACUGCGAAUACCGGAGAAUGUUAUCACGGGAGACACACGGCGGGUGCUAACGUCCGUCGUGAAGAGGGAAACAACCCAGACCGCCAGCUAAGGUCCCAAAGUCAUGGUUAAGUGGGAAACGAUGUGGGAAGGCCCAGACAGCCAGGAUGUUGGCUUAGAAGCAGCCAUCAUUUAAAGAAAGCGUAAUAGCUCACUGGUCGAGUCGGCCUGCGCGGAAGAUGUAACGGGGCUAAACCAUGCACCGAAGCUGCGGCAGCGACGCUUAUGCG